UACGAAGGGGGCUAGCGUUGCUCGGAAUGACUGGGCGUAAAGGGCGCGUAGGCGGCUGUACAAGUCAAAGGUGAAAUCCCUCGGCUCAACUGAGGAACUGCCUUUGAAACUGUACGGCUUGAGGCCGGGAGGGGGUAGCGGAAUUCCCAGUGUAGCGGUGAAAUGCGUAGAUAUUGGGAAGAACACCGAUGGCGAAGGCAGCCAUCUGGACCGACACUGACGCUGAGGCGCGAAAGCGUGGGGAGCAAACAGG
rnacentral:rRNA from 1 species